rnacentral:rRNA from 1 species
AUUGAACGCUGGCGGCAGGCCUAACACAUGCAAGUCGAACGAGUGGCGGACGGGUGAGUAAUGUCUGGGAAACUGCCUGAUGGAGGGGGAUAACUAGUGGAAACGGUAGCUAAUACCGCAUACCCUCGUAUGUGCCCAGAUGGGAUUAGCUAGUAGGUGGGGUAAAGGCUCACCUAGGCGACGCUCCCUAGCUGGUCUGAGAGGGUUCCCAGCACAACGGGAAGUGCGACACGGUCCAGCCUCGGACGGGAGGAAGCAGUGGGGAAUAUUGCACAAUGGGCGCAAGCCUGAGGCAGCCAGGCCGCGUGUAUGAAGAAGGCUGUCGGGUUGGAAAGUACUUUCCGCGGGGAGGCGUUACCAGCAGAAGAAGCACCGGCGAACUCCGUGCCAGCAGCCGCGUAAUAC